rnacentral:lncRNA from 1 species
CCAGCGUUCCCGCCCCUUCCGUGUGCACAUGGAGGCCGGGGUGGGGCGGGGCAGGCGCAGCCCGGGCUGAGCUUGCAGGGCCGCUUCACUCACCCAACCUCUUCGAGUCCUCCGCGGGCUCCGCCCCACCCGGCCCGUGAGGGAGGUUCUGUCCCGCAGCCUUCGCCCGCGAGCUGCUCUCGGGGAUGGUUCCCGCUCGCGUUGGGCGCACCUCGGCGCGCUGGGCUGCGCUGGCGCUGCUGCUCCUCGGCCUGCUCCGCCCUCUGGUGGCCGCCCCUGGGGCUGACUUGGACUUAGCAGGUGCCUUUGGUGAUGGAGGAAACA